UACAGAGGGGGCAAGCGUUGUUCGGAAUUACUGGGCGUAAAGGGCGCGUAGGCGGCCCGCUAAGUCGAACGUGAAAUCCCUGGGCUCAACCCAGGAACUGCGUCCGAUACUGGCGGGCUUGAAUCCGGGAGAGGGAUGUGGAAUUCCAGGUGUAGCGGUGAAAUGCGUAGAUAUCAGGAGGAACACCAAUUGCGAAGGCAGCUCGCUGGGACGUUACUGACGCUGAGACGCGAAAGCGUGGGGAGCAAACAGG
rnacentral:rRNA from 1 species